UUCGUUGUUUUGCUCCUGCUGUUGCCCGGUUCCAGUACAAUGCCCCGUUAGCUGCUCGGUGGAAGGGAAGCUUAACGUGUACAGAUGUUUCCACACAUUGCCUGAGAACAUAUAGAUCUCAGCUGCAAUCAAUGACCGAGGCAACGUUUAAUUGGAGACCAUACGAC